rnacentral:rRNA from 1 species
CCUACGGGAGACAGCAGUGGGGAAUAUUGCACAAUGGGGGAAACCCUGAUGCAGCGACGCCGCGUGAGUGAAGAAGUAACUCGUUACGUUAAGCUCUAUCAGCAGGGAAGAAAAUGACGGUACCUGAGGAAGAAGCUCCGUCUAACUAGGAGCCAGCAGCCGCGGUAAUACGUAGGGGGCAAGCGUUAUCCGGAUUUACUGGGUGUAAAGGGAGCGUAGACGGUGCGCCAAGUCUGGAGUGAAAUGCUGCAGCUUAACUGCGGAAUUGCAUUGGAAACUGGCGAACUAGAGUGCGGGAGGGGUGAGCGGAAUUCCUGGUGUAGCGGUGAAAUGCGUAGAUAUUAGGAAGAACACCGAUGGCGAAGGCAGCUUACUGGACCGUAACUGACAUUGAGGCUCGAAAGCGUGGGGAGCAAACAGGAUUAGAUACCCUUGUAGUC